CAGGAAAGGAACUCUUCCACCCUCCAGAGAAGCACACGUGGAUAUUUUUAGCAAGGCAGUAAGACAAACGAGCUCAGCUCUUCCAGCUAUCCAUCUGCUUCGUGUGUUCUGGGCCCCACAGCCUUUCCAACCAUGAUUCCUGGGAACUCAGCUUCCUCUGAUGCUGUCCGUGAGGCAAGAACUUGGGAUUAAUCCCCUGCCUUAACCAGGGGCAGCUUGGCUGGGUGCUCAGGGCAGACUGUGGCUGCCCACGGUCCCCAAGCAGUGCCAGCAGCACUGAGACUCCCACCCUCACCUUGCUGAGAUGCUGCAGGUGGAGUGAGCACACGAGGGGGAUGAGACUGAUCAAAUACAGUCCCAGGAGAAUUCCAAGAGCAGUCUCCCUGUGCAUGAGGCUCCCUGUCGUUUUCCAGUCUCUCUUCAUUGACACUGAGAGAAAAACCCGAGCUGAGCAGCUGUGACCCCAAAUGUGCUCCCUUCUCCCAUGGCAGGUGGUACCCGGCUGUGCCAGUUGGAAUUGUUUGUGCUUGGAGCUGAAGGGCAGGGAAAGGCGGGUUACACCUUUCCUGCCAAUCCUGGGAAUCUGCAGAUGCCUGGUGCUCGCUUUCCCUGAGUUUUGCAGCGAGGGGGGAGGCGCAGGAAGCGCAGAGAGCAGGGAGAUUUGGGGCACACAAAGCACAGACCGGGGAGAUUUGGGACCAUCCUGGCCUCGCUGAAGUUGCUCAGAGAGCUGCAGAGCAGAGCUCGGUCUCCCUGGCAAUGGUUGCCAUGCGAUCGCUGCUGUGGCACCGCAUCCGCCUGACUUCAGUCAAACGCGCUCCUCCCAAGGGAAGGCUUGUGCUGGAGUCCCCAAGGAGGAUGGGAUGGAUGGGCUCCCAUUGAUGGGGAGAGGGCAAAAAGAAGAGGCAAUCCAGAGUGGUUAUUGAACCUUUCCGGGUGGAUGCCCAGGCUGCAGUCAAUUACUGUGGUCUCGAUGUUCCUGGAGUUGAUGUGCCUUCAUAGAAGUGCCUUCUGUCCCCCAGUGAAUGAUCAGAAUUACUCUCUGAGAUAACUCUUCUGGUUUGAAAAAAAAGUCCUUUGCAGAAAUGUAAGUUCCCCAUUUUAAAUCCAAGUGUAAAACUUAAAAAUUCCAUUACCACAAGAAGCUGUUAGGAAACCAGUGACUUGGGUAAAGCAUUUGAUCACGCAUGAAAAAUUAUCAAGUCAAUGUUGAAAAAGCAUUGAGAGACAUGUGCUGGCUGCUCAGAGCCCUCAUCAGUCACUGCUGGGCAGAGCCAUGUCCUGGAGAGCUCACACUGGGGUGGCUGAAGUUAUCCAGAGACAGCUGUCCCAAUGUUUCCCAGAUUCCUUGCAUGUGACUUCUGUAUCCGCUUUUCCACAUGAACAAUAACGCUGAAGAGAACGUCACUCAUCAGACAGGCAUAAUUGGAUUUGGAAAAUGUGAUAUUGUGAAUUAAGUUGACUGAUGGGGAAGUGUCAGUUUUAUUAACAAUCUUCCUUCAGAUGAUAAUUUUAUAUCUAUAAGGAUGAAUUACAAGAGUACUUGAAAGCAUCAGUCUCAAAUGAUGAAGUCAUUUUAAUAAAGGCUGACUUUCUCUUUCA